CGGCUGACGAGUCCCAAAUAGGACGGAACACGUGUCUUG
rnacentral:hammerhead_ribozyme from 1 species